AGUGAACGCUGGCGGUAGGCCUAACACAUGCAAGUCGAACGGCAGCACAGUAAGAGCUUGCUCUUACGGGUGGCGAGUGGCGGACGGGUGAGGAAUAAAUCGGAAUCUACUUUUUCGUGGGGGAUAACGUAGGGAAACUUACGCUAAUACCGCAUACGACAUACGGGUGAAAGCAGGGGAUCUUCGGACCUUGCGCGAUUGAAUGAGCCGAUGUCGGAUUAGCUAGUUGGCGGGGUAAAGGCCCACCAAGGCGACGAUCCGUAGCUGGUCUGAGAGGAUGAUCAGCCACACUGGAACUGAGACACGGUCCAGACUCCUACGGGAGGCAGCAGUGGGGAAUAUUGGACAAUGGGCGCAAGCCUGAUCCAGCCAUACCGCGUGGGUGAAGAAGGCCUUCGGGUUGUAAAGCCCUUUUGUUGGGAAAGAAAAGCAGCAGGUUAAUACCCCGCUGUUCUGACGGUACCCAAAGAAUAAGCACCGGCUAACUUCGUG
rnacentral:rRNA from 1 species